GAUGAACGCUGGCGGUGUGCCUAACACAUGCAAGUCGAACGGCAACACAGUAAGAUCGUGCUCUUACGGUUGGCGAGGGGCGGGCGGGUGAGGAGUAGAUCGGAAUCUACUUUUUCUGGGAUGAUAACGGGAGGAAACUUACGCUAAUACCUCAUACGACCUACGGGUUGGAGCAAUAGAUCUUCGGACCUUUCGCGAUUGAAUUAGCCGGUGUCGGAUUAGCUAGUUGGCUGGGUAAAGGCCCACCAAGGCGACGAUCCGUAGCUGGUCUGAGAGGAUGAUCAGCCACACUGGAACUGAGACACGGUCCAGACUCCUACGGGAGGCAGCAGUGGGGAAUAUUGGUCAAUGGGCGAAAGCCUGAUCCAGCAAUACCGCGUGGGUGAAGAAGGCCUUCGGGUCGUAAAGCUCUGUUGUUGGGAAAGAAAAGAAGCAGGUUAAUACACCGAUGUUCUGACGGUACCUAAAGAAUAAGCAACGGCUAACUUCGUG
rnacentral:rRNA from 1 species